rnacentral:rRNA from 1 species
UUCCUACGGGAGGCAGCAGUGGGGAAUAUUGCACAAUGGGCGCAAGCCUGAUGCAGCGACGCCGCGUGAGGGAUGACGGCCUUCGGGUUGUAAACCUCUUUCAGUACCGACGAAGCGCAAGUGACGGUAGGUACAGAAGAAGCACCGGCCAACUACGUGCCAGCAGCCGCGGUAAUACGUAGGGUGCGAGCGUUGUCCGGAAUUACUGGGCGUAAAGAGCUCGUAGGCGGUUUGUCGCGUCGUCUGUGAAAACCCGCAGCUCAACUGCGGGCUUGCAGGCGAUACGGGCAGACUUGAGUACUGCAGGGGAGACUGGAAUUCCUGGUGUAGCGGUGAAAUGCGCAGAUAUCAGGAGGAACACCGGUGGCGAAGGCGGGUCUCUGGGCAGUAACUGACGCUGAGGAGCGAAAGCGUGGGUAGCGAACAGGAUUAGAUACCCGAGUAGUC